rnacentral:snoRNA from 1 species
GCUAAAUGAUGAAUUCCACUUCUGGUCCGUGUUUCUGACACCCAUGAUCUUGUUGGAAGUUCUGAUCAG